AUCUUUGUAUUAUACCCAACAAUGUCUGUCCGAGGUGUGAUUGUUGCUGAUAAAAAACUUUUCCCAUUUCCCCGCCAUGACAACUUGAAAUAUAGUUGACAUUGGCAAUUUUUAAUAGUCUAUAUGGAGA
rnacentral:snRNA from 1 species